UGCAGGUGAUGUUUGUUCUCACGAUGGUCUUCUGAGCCUUUGUGGCUUUGAGGAUGAUGCCUUACGGCUGUACUGAUGCAGAUUU